UAUUGGACAAUGGGGGGAACCCUUAUCCAGCGACGCCGCGUGAGUGAAGAAGUAUCUCGGUAUGUAAAGCUCCAUCAGCAGGGAAGAAGAAAUGACGGUACCUGAGUAAGAAGCCCCGGCUAACUACGUGCCAGCAGCCGCGGUAAUACGUAGGGGGCAAGCGUUAUCCGGUAUUACUGGGUGUAAAGGGAGCGUAGACGGUGAUGUAAGUCUGGAGUGAAAGGCGGGGGCCCAACCCCCGGACUGCUCUGGAAACUAUGUGACUGGAGUGCAGGAGAGGUGAGCGGAAUUCCUAGUGUAGCGGUGAAAUGCGUAGAUAUUAGGAGGAACACCAGUGGCGAAGGCGGCUCACUGGACUGUGACUGACGCUGAGGCUCGAGAGCGUAGGGAGCAAACAGG
rnacentral:rRNA from 1 species